rnacentral:rRNA from 1 species
UACGUAGGCAGCGAGCGUUGUUCGGAGUUACUGGGCGUAAAGGGUGUGUAGGCGGUUGUUUAAGUUUGGUGUGAAAUCUCCCGGCUCAACUGGGAGGGUGCGCCGAAUACUGAAUGACUAGAGUGCGGGAGAGGAGAGUGGAAUUCCUGGUGCAGCGGUGAAAUGCGUAGAUAUCAGGAGGAACACCGGCGGUGUAGACGGCUCUCUGGACCGUAACUGACGCUGAGACACGAAAGCGUGGGUAGCAAACAGG